UGUGAUAGCUCAAUUGGUAGAGCAUGAGAUCCUUAAUAUCAGGGUUGUGGGUUCGAACCCCACCUUGCGCAA